rnacentral:rRNA from 1 species
ACUCAAAUGAAUAGACGGGGACCCGCACAAGCGGUGGAUGAUGUGGUUUAAUUCGAUGCAACGCGCAAAACCUUACCUACCCUUGACAUGGCAGGGACCCUGGUGAGAGCUGGGGGUGCCCGAAAGGGAGCCUGUACACAGGUGCUGCAUGGCUGUCGUCAGCUCGUGUCGUGAGAUGUUGGGUUAAGUCCCGCAACGAGCGCAACCCUUGCCACUAGUUGCCCCAUGUAAGGUGGGCACUCUAGUGGGACUGCCGGUGACAAACCGGAGGAAGGUGGGGAUGACGUCAAGUCCUCAUGGCCCUUAUGGGUAGGGCGACACACGUCAUACAAUGGCGCAUACAAAGGGUAGCCAACCCGCGAGGGGGAGCCAAUCCCAGAAAGUGCGUCGUAGUCCGGAUUGUUCUCUGCAACUCGAGAGCAUGAAGUCGGAAUCGCUAGUAAUCGCGGAUCAGCAUGUCGCGGUGAAUACGUUCCCGGGUCUUGUACACACCGCCCGU